GGACGACCAGCCUCACUGGAACUGAGACACGGUCCAGACACCUACGGGUGGCAGCAGUCGAGAAUUUUUCUCAAUGGGCGAAAGCCUGAAGGAGCGACGCCGCGUGGGGGAUGAAGGGCUUCGGUCCGUAAACCCCUGUCAUUUGCGAACAAACCUUACACAAUAACAUUGGGUGAGCUGAUUGUAGCGAAAGAGGAAGGGACGGCUGACUCUGUGCCAGCAGCCGCGGUAAUACAGAGGUCCCAAGCGUUGUUCGGAUUCACUGGGCGUAAAGGGUGCGCAGGUGGGCUGGUAAGUUCGAUGUGAAAGCCCCGGGCUUAACCCGGGAAUGGCAUUGGAUACUACUGGUCUGGAGGAUUGGAGGGGGGACUGGAAUUCUUGGUGUAGCAGUGAAAUGCGUAGAUAUCAAGAGGAACACCAGUGGCGAAGGCGAGUCCCUGGACAAUUCCUGACACUGAGGCACGAAAGCCAAGGGAGCAAACAGGAUUAGAUACCCUGGUAGUCUUGGCUGUAAACGGUGCGUAUUUGCUGUAAACGGAAUCGACCCCGUUUGUGGCGUAGCUAACGCGAUAAAUACGCCGCCUGGGAAGUACGGUCGCAAGAUUAAAACUCAAAGAAAUUGACGGGGGCCUGCACAAGCGGUGGAGUAUGUGGCUUAAUUCGAUCAACGCGAAGAACCUUACCUGGCCUUGACGUGCAUGUGGUAGAACCAUGAAAGUGGGACGAUCCCGCAAGGGAAGCAUGCACAGGUGCUGCAUGGCUGUCGUCAGCUCGUGUCGUGAGAUGUUGGGUUAAGUCCCGCAACGAGCGCAACCCUUGUGUCCUGUUGCCACUCCCUCGAGAGAGGGAAGCACUCUGGACAGACUGCCUCGCUUAAACGAGGAGGAAGGUGGGGAUGACGUCAAGUCAGUAUGGCCCUUACGGCCAGGGCUGCACACGUACUACAAUGCUUGGCACAAAGGGAAGCUAGACCGUCAGGUGGAGCAAAUCCCAUAAAACCAUGCCCAGUUCAGAUUGUCGUCUGCAACUCGACGACAUGAAGCCGGAAUCGCUAGUAAUGGCGCAUCAGCUACGGCGCCGUGAAUACGUUCCCAGGCCUUGUACACACCGCCCGUCACAUCAUGAAAGCCGGUUGUACCCGAAGUCCACUUUGUUAACCGCAAGGAGACAGUGGCCGAAGGUAUGGCUGGUGAUUGGGAUGAAGUCGUAACAAGGUAGCCGUAGGGGAACCUGCGGCUG
rnacentral:rRNA from 1 species